rnacentral:rRNA from 1 species
GACGAACGCUGGCGGCGUGCUUAGCACAUGCAAGUCGAACGGAAAGGCCCUGCUUUUGUGGGGUGCUCGAGUGGCGAACGGGUGAGUAACACGUGAGUAACCUGCCCUUGACUUUGGGAUAACUUCAGGAAACUGGGGCUAAUACCGGAUAGGAGCUCCUGCUGCAUGGUGGGGGUUGGAAAGUUUCGGCGGUUGGGGAUGGACUCGCGGCUUAUCAGCUUGUUGGUGGGGUAGUGGCUUACCAAGGCUUUGACGGGUAGCCGGCCUGAGAGGGUGACCGGCCACAUUGGGACUGAGAUACGGCCCAGACUCCUACGGGAGGCAGCAGUGGGGAAUAUUGCACAAUGGGCGGAAGCCUGAUGCAGCAACGCCGCGUGCGGGAUGACGGCCUUCGGGUUGUAAACCGCUUUCGCCUGUGACGAAGCGUGAGUGACGGUAAUGGGUAAAGAAGCACCGGCUAACUACGUGCCAGCAGCCGCGGUGAUACGUAGGGUGCGAGCGUUGUCCGGAUUUAUUGGGCGUAAAGGGCUCGUAGGUGGUUGAUCGCGUCGGAAGUGUAGUCUUGGGGCUUAACCCUGAGCGUGCUUUCGAUACGGGUUGACUUGAGGAAGGUAGGGGAGAAUGGAAUUCCUGGUGGAGCGGUGGAAUGCGCAGAUAUCAGGAGGAACACCAGUGGCGAAGGCGGUUCUCUGGGCCUUUCCUGACGCUGAGGAGCGAAAGCGUGGGGAGCGAACAGGCUUAGAUACCCUGGUAGUCCACGCUGUAAACGGUGGGUACUAGGUGUGGGGUCCAUUCCACGGGUUCCGUGCCGUAGCUAACGCUUUAAGUACCCCGCCUGGGGAGUACGGCCGCAAGGCUAAAACUCAAAGGAAUUGACGGGGCCCCGCACAAGCGGCGGAGCAUGCGGAUUAAUUCGAUGCAACGCGUAGAACCUUACCUGGGUUUGACAUGGAUCGGGAGUGCUCAGAGAUGGGUGUGCCUCUUUUGGGGUCGGUUCACAGGUGGUGCAUGGCUGUCGUCAGCUCGUGUCGUGAGAUGUUGGGUUAAGUCCCGCAACGAGCGCAACCCUUGUUCACUGUUGCCAGCACGUUAUGGUGGGGACUCAGUGGAGACCGCCGGGGUCAACUCGGAGGAAGGUGGGGAUGACGUCAAGUCAUCAUGCCCCUUAUGUCCAGGGCUUCACGCAUGCUACAAUGGCUGGUACAGAGAGUGGCGAGCCUGUGAGGGUGAGCGAAUCUCGGAAAGCCGGUCUCAGUUCGGAUUGGGGUCUGCAACUUGACCUCAUGAAGUCGGAGUCGCUAGUAAUCGCAGAUCAGCAACGCUGCGGUGAAUACGUUCCCGGGGCU